GACGAACGCUGGCGGCGUGCUUAACACAUGCAAGUCGAACGGAAAGGCGCUGCUUUUGUUGGGUGCACGAGUGGCGAGCGCGGGAGUAAAACGCGAGUAACCUGCCCCUAACUUUGGGAUAACUUCAGGAAACUGGGGCUCAUAUACGAUAGAAGCUCCUGCUGCAUGGUGGGGGUUGGAAAGUUUCGGCGGUUGGGGAUGGAUUCGAAGGUUAUGCGCUAGUUGGUGAGGUAGUGGAUUACCAAGGUUUUGACGGGUAGCCGGCCUUAGAGGGUGACCGGCCACAUUGGGACUGCGAUACGGCCCAGAAUGCUACGUGACGCAGCAGGCGGGAAUAUUGCACAAUGGGCGGAAGCCUGAUGCAGCAACGUCGCGUGCGGGAUAACGUGUUUCGGGUUGUGAACCGCUUUCGCCUUUGACGAAGCGUUAGUGACGGUAAUGGGUAAAGAAGCAACGGCUAACUACGUG
rnacentral:rRNA from 1 species